GAUGAACGCUGGCUACAGGCUUAACACAUGCAAGUCGAGGGGAAACGACGGGGAAGCUUGCUUCCCCAGGCGUCGACCGGCGCACGGGUGAGUAACGCGUAUCCAACCUGCCUCUGACUGAGGGAUAACCCGUCGAAAGUCGGCCUAAUACCUCAUGGCAUCGUCUGCGGGCAUCCAACGACGAUUAAAGAUUUCAUCGGUCAGGGAUGGGGAUGCGUCUGAUUAGCUUGUUGGCGGGGUAACGGCCCACCAAGGCUACGAUCAGUAGGGGUUCUGAGAGGAAGGUCCCCCACAUUGGAACUGAGACACGGUCCAAACUCCUACGGGAGGCAGCAGUGAGGAAUAUUGGUCAAUGGGCGGGAGCCUGAACCAGCCAAGUAGCGUGCAGGAUGACGGCCCUAUGGGUUGUAAACUGCUUUUAUGCGGGGAUAAAGUGAGGGACGUGUCCUUCAUUGCAGGUACCGCAUGAAUAAGGACCGGCUAAUUCCGUG
rnacentral:rRNA from 1 species